UAGAAACCUAGCAGUUAGUCUUAUGUAUCUAGACACAUUGUAUACAAUGUGUCUAGAUACAUCAGACUAACUGCUAGGUUUC
rnacentral:pre_miRNA from 1 species